GUCUCUUGAGAAGAAUCUCUUGAAGGACAAUCUCUAAGGAAGUCUCUCAAGGAAGGCUGACUCUGGCUGGAACUUCCUCUGGGGAAACUCUGUCCCCUUGAAUCCUCGCUUGAACAGAUCUUAUGAUAACGCUUUCCUGAUUGCAUCAAGGCUCGGAGUACUUCAAUAUUUCCUCAUAGGGUCCACAGCCAUUUAAAAUAGUCCAAGGAUCAUUGAUUUAGAAUAAGAAGAGGCCCUAGAGACAAAUGAGAGGUGGAACCAUUAGCAAAGAAUGGAAGUCAUAAAGAGGUAGGAAAGGAAAAUAUUCCUGAUGAGUGGAAUUGUUCAAAGGUGUUGAGCUCUGGAACAUGCAAUUUUCUCUUCUCUGGAGAUCUUCAAAAAGAGAUUGGAUGUUGGCUCAUAAGCUAGAAAUGGUCCCUUUGCUUAUUUUCAUCAUGAGCACUAUGAGAGUGAAGCCUACCUUUCUGCAAUGUCCACAUGGAUCUGCCUUUUGGGGUCAUGUAGAAGAAAUCUAAUCUCUCUUUGCAUAAAUAGUUUUCCAAAUAUAUGAUUUAAACUCUUCCAUUCCCUUUCUGGUUUCUCUUCCCGAGGCCAAACAUCCUCAGGUCCUUUGCCUUAACUUUAUGUUGUCUGGCUUCCAGUUCUUUUAAACAGUCACUAGGGGAGAACAUUCCAAUUUUCCUAAUUCAUCAGCUGAGUUUUGAAAUGAUUGAUUUGAUGGUUAAUUUCCAAUGGUUAUUAAGGAAAAAUGCUUUAAAAAUCAGAAGCAAGUUUUUUUUUUUCUUUUUAACAAAGAAAUGUUAAUCAGAGAUUUACAGCUGAGCUCUUACAACCCAACAGAUGGUAUUUUGUAGCACAUGCCCAAGACACAUUAUUUUCAUUCUUGGCUGCUCAGAGAAUACAAAAUGUGUCUCCUCUGAAUCCCAAGUCAACCCUCAAUGAAGUCUUCUAACCUUUUGUGUCAUUGGAAGGUUGAGGCAGACAGUGAAGGUGUGCCUUUGUUGGGUUAAGCGUAGGUUUUCCCUGAUUGUCCGACAUGUUUCAUGGUAACCAACCCAACUGGCAUACAUACCCUACUAUCCAAAGAGCUGAGGUUCCAAAUUUCCAAAGGGAAGGGCACUUUUGACCACUGCAUUAUGCACAGUUAAAAUUACAACUGUCUUCUGGGAGUUUCCAUCC
rnacentral:lncRNA from 1 species